GACGAACGCUGGCGGCGUGCCUAAUACAUGCAAGUGGGACGCAAGGAAACACACUGUGCUUGCACACCGUGCUUUCUUGAGUCGCGAACGGGUGAGUAAUGCGUAGGUAACCUGCCUAUUAGCGGGGGAUAACUAUUGGAAACGAUAGCUAAUACCGCAUAAUAUUAAUUAUUGCAUGAUAAUUGAUUGAAAGAUGCAAGCGCAUCACUAGUAGAUGGACCUGCGUUGUAUUAGCUAGUUGGUAAGGUAAGAGCUUACCAAGGCGACGAUACAUAGCCGACCUGAGAGGGUGAUCGGCCACACUGGGACUGAGACACGGCCCAGACUCCUACGGGAGGCAGCAGUAGGGAAUCUUCGGCAAUGGACGAAAGUCUGACCGAGCAACGCCGCGUGAGUGAAGAAGGUUUUCGGAUCGUAAAGCUCUGUUGUAAGUCAAGAACGUGUGUGAGAGUGGAAAGUUCACACAGUGACGGUAGCUUACCAGAAAGGGACGGCUAACUACGUGCCAGCAGCCGCGGUAAUACGUAGGUCCCGAGCGUUGUCCGGAUUUACUGGGCGUAAAGGGAGCGCAGGCGGUCAGGAAAGUCUGGAGUAAAAGGCUAUGGCUCAACCAUAGUGUGCUCUGGAAACUGUCUGACUUGAGUGCAGAAGGGGAGAGUGGAAUUCCAUGUGUAGCGGUGAAAUGCGUAGAUAUAUGGAGGAACACCAGUGGCGAAAGCGGCUCUCUGGUCUGUCGCUGACGCUGAGGCUCGAAAGCGUGGGUAGCGAACAGGAUUAGAUACCCUGGUAGUCCACGCCGUAAACGAUGAGUGCUAGGUGCUAGGCCCUUUCCGGGGCUUAGUGCCGGAGCUAACGCAAUAAGCACUCCGCCUGGGGAGUACGACCGCAAGGUUGAAACUCAAAGGAAUUGACGGGGGCCCGCACAAGCGGUGGAGCAUGUGGUUUAAUUCGAAGCAACGCGAAGAACCUUACCAGGUCUUGACAUCCCGAUGCUAUUCUUAGAGAUAGGAAGUUACUUCGGUACAUCGGAGACAGGUGGUGCAUGGUUGUCGUCAGCUCGUGUCGUGAGAUGUUGGGUUAAGUCCCGCAACGAGCGCAACCCUUAUUGUUAGUUGCCAUCAUUAAGUUGGGCACUCUAGCGAGACUGCCGGUAAUAAACCGGAGGAAGGUGGGGAUGACGUCAAAUCAUCAUGCCCCUUAUGACCUGGGCUACACACGUGCUACAAUGGUCGGUACAACGAGUUGCGAGCCGGUGACGGCAAGCUAAUCUCUGAAAGCCGAUCUCAGUUCGGAUUGGAGGCUGCAACUCGCCUCCAUGAAGUCGGAAUCGCUAGUAAUCGCGGAUCAGCACGCCGCGGUGAAUACGUUCCCGGGCCU
rnacentral:rRNA from 1 species